GACAGAGGUGCCAAGCGUUAGGCGGAAUCACUGGGCUUAAAGCGUGUGUAGGCGGAUAUCUAAGUACCUUGUGAAAUCCCACGGCUCAACCGUGGAACUGCUUGGUAUACUGGGUGUCUUGAGCCAUCUAGGGGCUACCGGAACAAAUGGUGGAGCGGUGAAAUGCGUAGAUAUCAUUUGGAACGCCAAUGGUGAAAACAGGUAGCUGGGGAUGUGCUGACGCUGGAGACACGAAAGCCAGGGGAGCAAACGGG
rnacentral:rRNA from 1 species